rnacentral:lncRNA from 1 species
UUCUCACAGGCUGUCUCCGUGGUUUUUACCGCGCGUCCCCCACGCCUGGAGAACCUAGGCCUACGUGUUGGCCUAGGGGCUCACCGCCGAGCCGUGGAAGCCCGCCCGGUCCUCGUGGGUUGCUAACUUAGAAUAGCAGCCCACAGCAGGGGUUGCUAACUUGGAAUAGCAGCUCACAGCUGGGGGCCCGCCCGGGAUCCUUUCCUUCCACCGCCCUCCGGCCCCUCUCUGCUGCUGCUGCUGCUGUCUACUGGCGACCAUUUCAGCUCUCCAGAUCUCUCAAAGGACCCAACUCUGCAUACUCCACAAGAAAAGCCUUUGCUACCUCCGCAACCCGCCGUUGAAAAGUGCCUGACCUUCACCAAAACGUGCUUUAUAGUUCAUCAGAAAAGAACUCUCAGUGCAGAUGCUCCUCAAGCUCCCCUCGCACCCACUCUUACUCUGCUUCUUUCUUGUAAUU